AUGAACCCUCUCAUCAAACUACAACAGAAUUAUCCCCCUAGAACCCAGCUGGCAGAGGGGUCUGGGGAAUGCACUAUUCUGAAUCCCCACCUCUGCACCCUACAGAAAAAGAGGAGAGUGAGUUUAAGAAUAAGAAACAAUGCAAUUUAUCUCCCUUCUUCUAGAGCAAAUAUUAAAACAAUCUUCUGA
rnacentral:lncRNA from 1 species